rnacentral:rRNA from 1 species
UACGGAGGAUGCGAGCGUUAUCCGGAUUUAUUGGGUUUAAAGGGUGCGUAGGCGGACUGUCAAGUCAGCGGUAAAAUUGAGAGGCUCAACCUCUUCCCGCCGUUGAAACUGGUGGUCUUGAGUGGAUGAGAAGUACGCGGAAUGCGUGGUGUAGCGGUGAAAUGCAUAGAUAUCACGCAGAACUCCGAUUGCGAAGGCAGCGUACCGGCAUCCGACUGACGCUGAGGCACGAAAGCGUGGGGAUCAAACAGG